ACCUGGUUAGCUCAGUUGGUAGACCGCUCCACUGUAAAUUUAGAGGACCCUGGUUCGAUAUCGGGACCAGGCG
rnacentral:tRNA from 1 species